AUGAACGCUGGCGGCGUGCUUAACACCUGCAAGUCGAACGGAAAGGCCAGUGCUUGCACUGGUGCUCGGGUGGCGAACGGGUGAGUAACACGUGGGUGAUCUGCCCUGCACUUUGGGAUAAGCCUGGGAAACUGGGUCUAAUACCAGAUAGGACCAUGCUUUGGAUGGUGUGGUGGAAAGUUUUUUCGGUGUGGGAUGAGCUUGCGGCCUAUCAGCUUGUUGGUGGGGUAAUGGCCUACCAAGGCGUCGACGGGUAGCCGGCCUGAGAGGGUGUACGGCCACAUUGGGACUGAGAUACGGCCCAGACUCCUACGGGAGGCAGCAGUGGGGAAUAUUGCACAAUGGGCGCAAGCCUGAUGCAGCGACGCCGCGUGGGGGAUGACGGCCUUCGGGUUGUAAACUCCUUUCGCAACUGACGAAGCUUUUUGUGACGGUAGGUUGAGAAGAAGCACCGGCUAACUACGUG
rnacentral:rRNA from 1 species